rnacentral:rRNA from 1 species
UACAGAGGGUGCAAGCGUUGUUCGGAAUUAUUGGGCGUAAAGGGCGCGUAGGCGGUGCUGUAAGUCUGUGGUGAAAUCUCUGGGCUCAACUCAGAGUCUGCCAUAGAAACUGCAGUGCUGGAGUGUGGGAGAGGUGAGUGGAAUUCCAGGUGUAGCGGUGAAAUGCGUAGAUAUCUGGAGGAACACCGGUGGCGAAGGCGGCAUCCUGGACCGGUAUUGACGCUGAUGCGCGAAAGCCAGGGGAGCAAACGGG